CCUACGGGUGACAGCAGUGAGGAAUAUUGGUCAAUGGACGAGAGUCUGAACCAGCCAAGUAGCGUGAAGGAUGACUGCCCUAUGGGUUGUAAACUUCUUUUAUAUGGGAAUAAAAUGUUCCACGUGUGGGUUUUUGUAUGUACCAUAUGAAUAAGGAUCGGCUAACUCCGUGCCAGCAGCCGCGGUAAUACGGAGGAUCCGAGCGUUAUCCGGAUUUAUUGGGUUUAAAGGGAGCGUAGGUGGAUUGUUAAGUCAGUUGUGAAAGUUUGCGGCUCAACCGUAAAAUUGCAGUUGAAACUGGCAGUCUUGAGUACAGGAGAGGUGGGCGGAAUUCGUGGUGUAGCGGUGAAAUGCUUAGAUAUCACGAAGAACUCCGAUUGCGAAGGCAGCUCACUGGACUGCAACUGACACUGAGGCUCGAAAGUGUGGGUAUCAAACAGGAUUAGAUACCCGAGUAGUC
rnacentral:rRNA from 1 species